rnacentral:rRNA from 1 species
UGGGGAAUAUUGCACAAUGGGCGCAAGCCUGAUGCAGCCAUGCCGCGUGUAUGAAGAAGGCCUUCGGGUUGUAAAGUACUUUCAGCGGGGAGGAAGGGAGUGAGGUUAAUAACCUCAUUCAUUGACGUUACCCGCAGAAGAAGCACCGGCUAACUCCGUG